AUUGAACGCUGGCGGCAGGCUUAACACAUGCAAGUCGAGCGGAGAUGAGGUGCUUGCACCUUAUCUUAGCGGCGGACGGGUGAGUAAUGCUUAGGAAUCUGCCUAUUAGUGGGGGACAACAUUCCGAAAGGAAUGCUAAUACCGCAUACGCCCUACGGGGGAAAGCAGGGGAUCUUCGGACCUUGCGCUAAUAGAUGAGCCUAAGUCGGAUUAGCUAGUUGGUGGGGUAAGGGCCUACCAAGGCGACGAUCUGUAGCGGGUCUGAGAGGAUGAUCCGCCGCACUGGGACUGAGACACGGCCCAGACUCCUACGGGAGGCAGCAGUGGGGAAUAUUGGACAAUGGGCGGAAGCCUGAUCCAGCCAUGCCGCGUGUGUGAAGAAGGCCUUUUGGUUGUAAAGCACUUUAAGCGAGGAGGAGGCUACUUAGAUUAAUACUCUAGGAUAGUGGACGUUACUCGCAGAAUAAGCACCGGCUAACUCUGUGCCAGCAGCCGCCGUAACAC
rnacentral:rRNA from 1 species